UGGGAGUAGAGGUCUGAGGCCACACCCAACUGAUGAGUUUAGCUCCGCCUCCUGGUUAACGUUUCUUGAAGGCGGUUUGCAGAGCUACGCAGAGUCUCAGAGUCCUGUUGGAAGAAACUGCCUAGGGAUGGGAGGGUCUGUACUGAAGCGGUCACACCCCUUUCCCUUGUCCCUGCCGUGGCAUUUCUGAGGAAACCUACAGGCAGAAACUGGCUGCGGGGGCGAAGGAAAAAAAAAGUUGAGUCUCAAAGAAGGAACAACCUUGGUGGCAUUCGAGUGGUGCCAAAGAAUAAAAAGAUGAAAAACAGCACACAACCUGAGACAUCCGGUGGUGGUGACUGUCACCUAUAUGAAGCUGUGAAUCAUGGCUGGCCAGGCUGUUAAGCAUGGGACUGAAAUGGCAGUAGAGGGUCAAGGUUCAGAUGAGAAAAGUGUAAGCCCACUUUCUUCUGUGACCGGCAACAAAAGAGCACACUGCUUCUGCAAGACCUCAUGAUGACACUGUGUCAACGUGUGGUAUCCCUCCACUUCAGAGCCAGGAUGCCACCAGGUGCUGCAAGCUCCUUCCUGAGAUCCAGAAUUUCUCUUGGACCCAGAUCCAAAGACUCAUCACGGAGGUACCACAGAUUGGAGGCAGAAGUGGAGAGAUGGGAAGGAUACUGGAUAGAUGAUAGAUGUACCCGAGGUCGCCAGUCCCUCCCUCCAUCUACUGUGCCCUGUGCCUUGGGCUGA
rnacentral:lncRNA from 1 species